rnacentral:rRNA from 1 species
AGAGUUUGAUCAUGGCUCAGAACGAACGCUGGCGGCAUGCCUAACACAUGCAAGUCGAACGAGAAAGUUUCCUUCGGGGAACUAGUAAAGUGGCGCAAGGGUGAGUAACACGUGAAUAAUCUGCCUACGAAUUCGGGAUAACUCGGCGAAAGUUGUGCUAAUACCGGAUAAGACCACACUCCUAAUGGAGCGUGGCCAAAGGAGUCUCAAACUCCGUUUGUAGAUGAGUUCGCGGACCAUUAGCUUGUUGGCGGGAUAACAGCCCACCAAGGCGACGAUGGUUAGCCGGCCUGAGAGGGCGAUCGGCCACACUGGAACUGAGACACGGUCCAGACUCCUACGGGAGGCAGCAGUGGGGAAUAUUGCGCAAUGGGCGAAAGCCUGACGCAGCAAUGCCGCGUGAGGGAUGAAGGCUUUUGAGUCGUAAACCUCUGUCGGAUGGGAAGAAUAAUGACGGUACCAUCAGAGGAAGCCCCGGCUAACUCCGUGCCAGCAGCCGCGGUAAUACGGAGGGGGCAAGCGUUGUUCGGAAUUAUUGGGCGUAAAGAGUAUGUAGGCGGCUUAUUAAGUCAGGCGUGUAAGCCCACGGCUCAACCGUGGAAUUGCGUUUGAAACUAUUAGGCUUGAGUACAGGAGAGGAAGGCGGAAUUCCCAGUGUAGCGGUGAAAUGCAUUGAUAUUG